rnacentral:rRNA from 1 species
GACGUAGGGCGCGAGCGUUGUCCGGAUUUAUUGGGCGUAAAGAGCUCGUAGGCGGCUCGUUGCGUCGGCUGUGAAAACCCGCAGCUCAACUGUGGGCUUGCAGCUGAUACGGGCGGGCUGGGAUUCGGUAGGGGAGACUGGAAUUCCUGGUGUAGCGGUGAAAUGCGCAGAUAUCAGGAGGAACACCGGUGGCGAAGGCAGCUCUCUGGGACGGUACUGACGCUGAGACGCGAAAGCGUGGGGAGCAAACAGG